AUUGAACGCUAGCGGGAUGCCUUACACAUGCAAGUCGAACGGAGUGGCGAACGGGUGAGUAAUGUAUCGGAACGUGCCCAGUAGCGGGGGAUAACUACGCGAAAGCGUAGCUAAUACCGCCUACUAUUGGAGCGGCCGAUAUCGGAUUAGCUAGUUGGGCGGGUAACGGCUCACCAAGGCGACGAUCCGUAGCUGGGUUGAGAGGACGACCAGCCACAUUUGUACUGAGACACGGCCCAGACUCCUACGGGGGUCAGCAGUGGGGAAUUUUGGACAAUGCGGGAAACCCUUAUCCAGCCAUCCCGCGUGGGCGAUGAAGGUCUUCGGGUUGCAAAGCACUUUUGGCAGGCAAGCGGUACCUGCAGAAUAAGCACCGGCUAACUACGUGCCAGCAGCCGCGGUAAUAC
rnacentral:rRNA from 1 species